rnacentral:rRNA from 1 species
UACGGGGGGGGCAAGCGUUGUUCGGAAUUACUGGGCGUAAAGGGCUCGUAGGCGGCCAACUAAGUCAGACGUGAAAUCCCUCGGCUUAACCGGGGAACUGCAUCUGAUACUGGAUGGCUUGAGUUCGGGAGAGGGAUGCGGAAUUCCAGGUGUAGCGGUGAAAUGCGUAGAUAUCUGGAGGAACACCGGUGGCGAAGGCGGCAUCCUGGACCGACACUGACGCUGAUGAGCGAAAGCUAGGGGAGCAAACGGG